rnacentral:rRNA from 1 species
GGCGGACGGGUGAGUAAUGUCUGGGAAACUGCCUGAUGGAGGGGGAUAACUACUGGAAACGGUAGCUAAUACCGCAUAACGUCGCAAGACCAAAGUGGGGGACCUUCGGGCCUCAUGCCAUCAGAUGUGCCCAGAUGGGAUUAGCUAGUAGGUGGGGUAACGGCUCACCUAGGCGACGAUCCCUAGCUGGUCUGAGAGGAUGACCAGCCACACUGGAACUGAGACACGGUCCAGACUCCUACGGGAGGCAGCAGUGGGGAAUAUUGCACAAUGGGCGCAAGCCUGAUGCAGCCAUGCCGCGUGUGUGAAGAAGGCCUUCGGGUUGUAAAGCACUUUCAGCGGGGAGGAAGGCGUUAAGGUUAAUAACCUUGGCGAUUGACGUUACCCGCAGAAGAAGCACCGGCUAACUCCGUGCCAGCAGCCGCGGUAAUACGGAGGGUGCAAGCGUUAAUCGGAAUUACUGGGCGUAAAGCGCACGCAGGCGGUCUGUCAAGUCGGAUGUGAAAUCCCCGGGCUCAACCUGGGAACUGCAUUCGAAACUGGCAGGCUAGAGUCUUGUAGAGGGGGGUAGAAUUCCAGGUGUAGCGGUGAAAUGCGUAGAGAUCUGGAGGAAUACCGGUGGCGAAGGCGGCCCCCUGGACAAAGACUGACGCUCAGGUGCGAAAGCGUGGGGAGCAAACAGGAU